GGGGGGGGUGAGAAACCCAAAAGAUCGAAUGGGGAGAUUCAUCGUCAGCUCAUUUUGUAUAUGUAUAAGUUAUGAUGCGGGUUACUACUUGUAGUAUUGCCUGCACAUUCUUGUAUAUUUAGUUGCAAGAUGUUGUCGGCGUGCACUUCUCCCCUAGUAGGACGUCGCGACCCGUUGGGUGUCGGUCUACGGCCCAAGUGAUAGCCUUUAAUGUAAUUUAAAAAUCAUUGAAGAUCCUUGGUGUUUUCUGACCGACUACUCGGCGGUACUCGUACGGUAUUUAGCCGCAAAUUUUAUUAGCGUCCAUGUCUGUCGCAAGCGAGGCCAAUUUACUGGUAGUACGGACCUAGUGCCGUCGUUGGUAUUGGCCAGCUGUUGGUUGUACGGUAUUCUAGGACUGGCUAAAAUUAAUUACCGGUCGGCGACGCUACUGCUUUGGGUACUUUCAGGACCCGUCUUGAAACACGGACCAAAG
rnacentral:rRNA from 2 species